rnacentral:rRNA from 1 species
GGCAGGCCUAACACAUGCAAGUCGAGCGGAUGAAGGGAGCUUGCUCCCUGAUUCAGCGGCGGACGGGUGAGUAAUGCCUAGGAAUCUGCCUGGUAGUGGGGGACAACGUCUCGAAAGGGACGCUAAUACCGCAUACGUCCUACGGGAGAAAGCAGGGGACCUUCGGGCCUUGCGCUAUCAGAUGAGCCUAGGUCGGAUUAGCUAGUUGGUGAGGUAAUGGCUCACCAAGGCGACGAUCCGUAACUGGUCUGAGAGGAUGAUCAGUCACACUGGAACUGAGACACGGUCCAGACUCCUACGGGAGGCAGCAGUGGGGAAUAUUGGACAAUGGGCGAAAGCCUGAUCCAGCCAUGCCGCGUGUGUGAAGAAGGUCUUCGGAUUGUAAAGCACUUUAAGUUGGGAGGAAGGGUUGUAGAUUAAUACUCUGCAAUUUUGACGUUACCGACAGAAUAAGCACCGGCUAACUCUGUGCCAGCAGCCGCGGUAAUACAGAGGGUGCAAGCGUUAAUCGGAAUUACUGGGCGUAAAGCGCGCGUAGGUGGUUUGUUAAGUUGGAUGUGAAAGCCCCGGGCUCAACCUGGGAACUGCAUUCAAAACUGACAAGCUAGAGUAUGGUAGAGGGUGGUGGAAUUUCCUGUGUAGCGGUGAAAUGCGUAGAUAUAGGAAGGAACACCAGUGGCGAAGGCGACCACCUGGACU